CACCAGGUUGAUUCUGCCUGACGUGGACGCUAGCCCCCGAGGCUAAGCCAUGCAUGCCCGUGACGCGAGGAACGGCGAACGGCUCAGUAGUACUGACGAUCUGCUCCGCGCGGAUGAUAACCACGGGAAACUGUGGCUAAGAGCGUGGAUUGAGACGCAGGCCUAUCAGCUAGUUGGUAGUGUAACGGACUACCAAGGCGGCGACGGGUGACGGGAGAUAGGGGUCUGAUUCCGGAGAGGGAGCCUGAGAGAUGGCUCCCACGUCCAAGGACGGCAGCAGGCGCGGAAAUUGCCCACUCUCGUGUGAGGAGGCAGUUACGGGGCGUGACGGAAGGGCGCACGGCAGACGUGUGCGCGAAUGCGAUUGGAGGGCAAGUUCGGUGCCAGCAGCCGCGG
rnacentral:rRNA from 1 species